rnacentral:rRNA from 1 species
CUUUUAAUAAGGAGAGUGACGGGCGAUAUGUGCAUAUUUCAUUGCAACCUUCAGUGAAUCUUUCUUAAAUACACUUACUUACAAAUCCACCUUCUUAAUGGGUUUCACCAUUGAUUCGUUUUUAAUUAUUUUAAUUGUAGCUCAUCACCUCUUAAUCAUAAGCUGCACUGUGACCUGAAUUUUUGAAGUUGGGGUUAUUUAGUGGGAACAUUCUUUUAAAGUAACCUGACAACGGUGGUAUACAAGCUGAAUACUAGAUUAAGUAAGAUUAAACGGGGGUUAUCGAUUAUGGGACAAGCUCCUCUGUUGUGGUGAAAUACCGCCAAAGUCUUUGGGUUUGAAGGAUUUCUUUUACUACCCUGAAUAAUUUUUACUAAAAUAGCAGGGUCUCUAAUCCUGGUUUUUAUUUUAGUUUUAUUAGGUUGCCCUUUUUAAAUUAAUAAACUGAUAUGUAUGAUUGAAUUUUACCUCUGAUCUUACUAAUUUUGUUUAUUUUUUCCUUGACUUAGUUUACUACAUAUUUUCUUAGAUUUCACUCGAACUUUUCGUCUAACCGCAGCGGCUGGCACGAUUUUAGCUAGUUCUUAAGACUUGACUAGUUCUAACUGUUUUAGUAACUAAGCUUAUAUACUACUUUGAUUUUGUCUAAUUUAUUUAUUCGUAUUUAUAUUCAGUUUACAGUGAAAUAUAA